rnacentral:lncRNA from 1 species
CUCUGAGAUGAUAUGAGUGUGUGGAUUAGGCCACUGUAGUGCAAUGGAGCAACUGGAAAAAAAAAAAAAAAGCCCUGUGCAGAUAUACACAGAGGGAAGGCCAUGUGAAGACAUAAGGAGGAGAUGGCCAGCUACAAGUCAAGGAGAGAUGCCGUGGAAGAAACCAGUCCUGCUGACACCUUAAUCUCAGACUUCUAACCUCCAGAACUGUGAGGAAACAAAUUU